AAGACAGGCUUUCCUGCCGCUAUGUCAUUUAGUAAAUGACAGAGAGGAAAGUCCGGGCAACAAAGGGCAGCAUACUUCCUAACAGGAAGCUGUUAUUGCAUCCUUGAUGCAGUAACAAGAGAAAGUGCCACAGAAAAUAACCGCCCUGCUAUGCGGGGUAAGGGUGAAAACGUGAGGUAAGAGCUCACGCCACAGCAGAGUGACCUGCCGUGGGGGUAAACCUUAUGCGUUGAAAGGCCAAAUAUACCGGGGGUUGAGGGUGGCCCGCCCGAUCCCGGAGGGUAGGCCGUUAGAGGGCAGAUGCAAAUCUGCUCCCAGAUAAAUGGCAGGAAUUCCUAUUGUGGGAAUACAGAACCCGGCUUAUAAGCCUGUCUUUUUU
rnacentral:RNase_P_RNA from 1 species